rnacentral:misc_RNA from 1 species
UGACAUGGUUGUGCUUGUAAUUGCGUUGCUGCGCAGUCCAGCGGAAGAUGUCGAGCGCGAGAUCAGGGUCUGAUUGGGCACGGAGGGCGGCAUCGACAUCAGUAGGGGUGAACCCGGGUUUGAGGUUUUGGGUCCAGGUUUCGAAUUGAGUCUCAAGCGGUGUUCGGGUUCGUGUUCUUGGAAUAGGAGGGACUGAAAGGUCACUGUUUUCCGUUGGUGGAAAUUGACUGUUAUCGGCGGAGGGCAAGGAGGACAUGGUGCAGAGACAGAGCGAUGAUUUCGUGAUUUGGAGAAAAGAUAGAGAUGAGAAUGCAGAAAAGAGAGAUUUGGGUUUUUUGGAUGUGGAGGUGAGCAGAUAGGUUAAGCUCAUAGACAUAAUUCCAGAGGAAAGAGGUAGAGGAAGAGAAGAUGCGAAUUCACAACUCCGUUACAGUCCAGUCUCCUCC